UAAUACGAAGGUGGCAAGCGUUGUUCGGAUUCACUGGGCGUACAGGGAGCGUAGGCGGUUGGGUAAGCCCUCCGUGAAAUCUCCGGGCCUAACCCGGAAAGUGCAGAGGGGACUGCUCAGCUAGAGGAUGGGAGAGGAGCGCGGAAUUCCCGGUGUAGCGGUGAAAUGCGUAGAGAUCGGGAGGAAGGCCGGUGGCGAAGGCGGCGCUCUGGAACAUUUCUGACGCUGAGGCUCGAAAGCGUGGGGAGCAAACAGGAUUAGAUACCCUGGUAGUCCACGCCUUAAACUAUGGAUACUAAGUGUCGGCGGUUUACCGCCGGUGCCGCAGCUAACGCAAUAAGUAUCCCGCCUGGGAAGUACGGCCGCAAGGUUGAAACUUAAAUGAAUUGACGG
rnacentral:rRNA from 2 species